UACGGAGGGUGCGAGCGUUGUCCGGAAUCACCGGGCGUAAAGAGCUCGUAGGCGGUCUGUCGCGUCUGCUGUGAAAACUCAGGGCUUAACCCUGAGCUUGCAGUGGGUACGGGCAGACUAGAGUGCGGUAGGGGAGACUGGAAUUCCUGGUGUAGCGGUGAAAUGCGCAGAUAUCAGGAGGAACACCGGUGGCGAAGGCGGGUCUCUGGGCCGUAACUGACGCUGAGGAGCGAAAGCAUGGGGAGCGAACAGG
rnacentral:rRNA from 1 species